ensembl:lncRNA
CUAUUAUGUACCAAAUCAAGAAACCUACAUCAAGUCCCAGCUCCAGUGAGCUGUGUGACUACUUGAAAGUCACUUCAUAUCUCCAAACCUCAGUUUCCUCUUCUAUAGAAUGGAGGCAGGAUAAGAAUAUUCAUAAUUCUUUUGUUUUAUGGGUUGAAGUGAAGAAAACAUUUUGAAAAACUAUAGAAAUGUGAGUUAUUCUUAAACUGAAAGAAAGAACAGGUCCCAGUUUGUCUUCUACUUGUCCUAGUGACUCACACUCUAUUUUUUUUCUUGUUUGAGCUGUAGGUGGCAAAGCACAAGAUCAGAAAAAGAUACCCUCAUGUCCCUGUAUCGUCACUGAGUAAAUAACAGGUGCCAGUAUUAUCCCAUCUGUGAGAAGGCAUACAGUUAACAUCUGGAUUUGUCUCAACUUUGUCCUGCUUUGCUGGUCUUCCUCAUGGUAUGCACUUUAUCCAACCCUUAGCAUCUGUGAUUUCAUCCAAUGAGGCAUUCCUUCCGAAGAUAUAGGUAUCAGCCUUUCUCCAAAGCUCCAUCCUCUUCAGUUUGUGUUCAGGUGGAUCGACAGAAAAAGAAGACUUCCAUUGCAUUAGGGAGAUCAUCUGAACAAAGAUUUCGAGCUGGAUGCAAGAGGCAACUUCUAACACACAAACAGGGAAACGCCACUGUUGGUCCCUCCUUUUAGCUCUUCCUCUUGUCCUAUUGAACUUAAUGAAUUCCACAAAUACUGGAUUUGUUCAAAGGUAGAUUGGAAACCUCUGAUUAUGAUGGAGCCAUGAAAGGUAGUAGAGGAUUCCAGCAUUCCCACGUAUAGUAGAGCAGUGUUUUUUCUAAAGGCAUCACAUUUAGGGAAACCAAGACACGAGCCAGACCUGCAGUUUAUUUUAGAGAAUUCUUGGACCAUAACUAUGAGGGCAAUGAGUCAAAGAGAAAAUGUGGCCAUUUGGAGUUGGCUCCAAGGAUAAAAAACAAUUAGUGGGAACCCAGAGUUUUGAGGGACCUUGCUUGAAUGCCCUAUUCCAUCCCUCAUCUCAAUGCAGUUGAACACUUGGCCCCUCACAGUUGAAAUUUUCUUCAUCCUCUUAACUGCCUCUCAAGAACACUUAGCUUCUUUCAGUACUCACCUUAAGCACCACUUCCUCUAGGAUGCUUUCUCUGAUCUCCUUCUCCCAUGUUUUAAUGUCCUAUCCUCAAAUUCCCCGAACCUGCUUCUGCAAUUACCCUGGUCUACCCUCAUCACUUCACUCCUGGACUAUCUCAGUACGCUGCUGGUUGGUCUCUCUGCCACCAGCCUCUCCUCAGUCAGUCCCAUUAUCCACUCUGCUGUCAAAGGGAUUUUUCUAAAGUUCAGGUGUGAUCACAUCAUCUCUCUAUUCAGUAAACUUUAGUGAUUCCCUAUCUCCUCUAGGAUAAAAUAUAAAAUUAGUUUAUGUUUGCUGUUUGAUGUUAUUAUGAUCAAAAUCAAGGUAAACUGAGCACAAAGUCCUGAGCACAAUCAAUUUAUUGACAAAGCACAAAUUUGCCAACACAGUCUAGGUCCCUCAGAAAAGCUAAGACCCCCCAAACAAGGGAGACAAUGCUCUUUUAUAGAAAAAAGGAAGAGGCAGAAUAAAAGGCAGCAUUAUAGAUGGGUGAAACA